rnacentral:rRNA from 1 species
UAAGGAAUAUUGGACAAUGGACGCAAGUCUGAUCCAGCCAUGCCGCGUGAAGGAUGAAUGCCCUCUGGGUUGUAAACUUCUUUUACAGGGGAAGAAAGUUAUCUUUUUUAGGAUAUUUGACGGUACCCUAUGAAUAAGCACCGGCUAACUCCGUGCCAGCAGCCGCGGUAAUACGGAGGGUGCAAGCGUUAUCCGGAUUCACUGGGAUUAAAGGGUGCGUAGGCGGGUAUGUAAGUCAGUGGUGAAAUACCGGAGCUUAACUUCGGAACUGCCAUUGAUACUAUAUAUCUUGAAUAUUGUGGAGGUAAGCGGAAUAUGUCAUGUAGCGGUGAAAUGCUUAGAGAUGACAUAGAACACCGAUUGCGAAGGCAGCUUGCUACGCAAAUAUUGACGCUGAGGCACGAAAGCGUGGGGAUCAAACAGG